UACGUAGGGUGCAAGCGUUGUCCGGAAUUACUGGGCGUAAAGAGUUCGUAGGCGGUUUGUCGCGUCGUUUGUGAAAACCAGCAGCUCAACUGCUGGCUUGCAGGCGAUACGGGCAGACUUGAGUACUGCAGGGGAGACUGGAAUUCCUGGUGUAGCGGUGAAAUGCGCAGAUAUCAGGAGGAACACCGGUGGCGAAGGCGGGUCUCUGGGCAGUAACUGACGCUGAGGAACGAAAGCGUGGGCAGCGAACAGGAUUAGAUACCCUGGUAGUCCACGCCGUAAACGGUGGGCGCUAGGUGUGGGUUCCUUCCACGGAAUCCGUGCCGUAGCUAACGCAUUAAGCGCCCCGCCUGGGGAGUACGGCCGCAAGGCUAAAACUCAAAGGAAUUGACGGGGGCCCGCACAAGCGGCGGAGCAUGUGGAUUAAUUCGAUGCAACGCGAAGAACCUUACCUGGGUUUGACAUAUACCGGAAAGCUGCAGAGAUGUGGCCCCCCUUGUGGUCGGUAUACAGGUGGUGCAUGGCUGUCGUCGGCUCGUGUCGUGAGAUGUUGGGUUAAGUCCCGCAACGAGCGCAACCCCUAUCUUAUGUUGCCAGCACGUUAUGGUGGGGACUCGUAAGAGACUGCCGGGGUCAACUCGGAGGAAGGUGGGGACGACGUCAAGUCAUCAUGCCCCUUAUGUCCAGGGCUUCACACAUGCUACAAUGGCCAGUACAGAGGGCUGCGAGACCGUGAGGUGGAGCGAAUCCCUUAAAGCUGGUCUCAGUUCGGAUCGGGGUCUGCAACUCGACCCCGUGAAGUCGGAGUCGCUAGUAAUCGCAGAUCAGCAACGCUGCGGUGAAUACGUUCCCGGGCCU
rnacentral:rRNA from 1 species